GGGUUGUGAGGUUAAGCGAACAAGCGUACACGGUGGAUGCCCUGGCAGUCAGAGGCGAUGAAGGACGUGCUAAUCUGCGAAAAGCGCCGGUAAGGUGAUAUGAACCGUUAUAACCGGCGAUGUCCGAAUGGGGAAACCCGGUGCACUUCGGUGCAUCAUCGUUAGCUGAAUACAUAGGCUAACGAGGCGAACCGGGGGAACUGAAACAUCUAAGUACCCCGAGGAAAAGAAAUCAACCGAGAUUCCCCCAGUAGCGGCGAGCGAACGGGGAACAGCCCAGAGCCUGAAUCAGCUUGUGUGUCAGUGGAACGGUCUGGAAAGGCCGGCGAUACAGGGUGACAGCCCCGUACACGAAGGCACACAGGCUGUGAGCUCGAUGAGUAGGGCGGGACACGUGAUAUCCUGUCUGAAGAUGGGGGGACCAUCCUCCAAGGCUAAAUACUCCUGACUGACCGAUAGUGAACCAGUACCGUGAGGGAAAGGCGAAAAGAACCCCGGCGAGGGGAGUGAAACAGAACCUGAAACCGUGUACGUACAAGCAGUGGGAGCCUUCGUAAGAGGGUGACUGCGUACCUUUUGUAUAAUGGGUCAGCGACUUAUAUUCUGUAGCAAGGUUAACCGUAUAGGGGAGCCGAAGGGAAACCGAGUCUUAACCGGGCGUUAAGUUGCAGGGUAUAGACCCGAAACCCGGUGAUCUAGCCAUGGGCAGGUUGAAGGUUGGGUAACACUAACUGGAGGACCGAACCGACUAAUGUUGAAAAAUUAGCGGAUGACCUGUGGCUGGGGGUGAAAGGCCAAUCAAACCGGGAGAUAGCUGGUUCUCCCCGAAAGCUAUUUAGGUAGCGCCUCGUGAACUCAUCUCCGGGGGUAGAGCACUGUUUCGGCUAGGGGGCCAUCCCGGCUUACCAACCCGAUGCAAACUGCGAAUACCGGAGAAUGUUAUCACGGGAGACACACGGCGGGUGCUAACGUCCGUCGUGAAGAGGGAAACAACCCAGACCGCCAGCUAAGGUCCCAAAGUCAUGGUUAAGUGGGAAACGAUGUGGGAAGGCCCAGACAGCCAGGAUGUUGGCUUAGAAGCAGCCAUCAUUUAAAGAAAGCGUAAUAGCUCACUGGUCGAGUCGGCCUGCGCGGAAGAUGUAACGGGGCUAAAACCAUGCACCGAAGCUGCGGCAGCGACACUAUGUGUUGUUGGGUAGGGGAGCGUUCUGUAAGCCUGCGAAGGUGUGCUGUGAGGCAUGCUGGAGGUAUCAGAAGUGCGAAUGCUGACAUAAGUAACGAUAAAGCGGGUGAAAAGCCCGCUCGCCGGAAGACCAAGGGUUCCUGUCCAACGUUAAUCGGGGCAGGGUGAGUCGACCCCUAAGGCGAGGCCGAAAAGGCGUAGUCGAUGGGAAACAGGUUAAUAUUCCUGUACUUGGUGUUACUGCGAAGGGGGGACGGAGAAGGCUAUGUCGGCCGGGCGACGGUUGUCCUGGUUUAAGCGUGUAGGCUGACUUUCCAGGCAAAUCCGGAAAGUCAAGGCUGAGGCGUGAUGACGAGGCACCACGGUGCUGAAGUGACAAAUGCCCUGCUUCCAGGAAAAGCCUCUAAGCAUCAGGUAACAUUAAAAUCGUACCCCAAACCGACACAGGUGGUCAGGUAGAGAAUACCAAGGCGCUUGAGAGAACUCGGGUGAAGGAACUAGGCAAAAUGGUGCCGUAACUUCGGGAGAAGGCACGCUGACAUGUAGGUGAAGCCCCUGCGGGUGGAGCUGAAGUCAGUCGAAGAUACCAGCUGGCUGCAACUGUUUAUUAAAAACACAGCACUGUGCAAACACGAAAGUGGACGUAUACGGUGUGACGCCUGCCCGGUGCCGGAAGGUUAAUUGAUGGGGUUAUCGCAAGAGAAGCUCCUGAUCGAAGCCCCGGUAAACGGCGGCCGUAACUAUAACGGUCCUAAGGUAGCGAAAUUCCUUGUCGGGUAAGUUCCGACCUGCACGAAUGGCGUAAUGAUGGCCAGGCUGUCUCCACCCGAGACUCAGUGAAAUUGAACUCGCUGUGAAGAUGCAGUGUACCCGCGGCAAGACGGAAAGACCCCGUGAACCUUUACUACAGCUUGACACUGAACAUUGAGCCUUGAUGUGUAGGAUAGGUGGGAGGCUUUGAAGCGUGGACGCCAGUCUGCGUGGAGCCGACCUUGAAAUACCACCCUUUAAUGUUUGAUGUUCUAACCUGGCGCCGUGAUCCGGCGUGGGGACAGUGUCUGGUGGGUAGUUUGACUGGGGCGGUCUCCUCCCAAAGUGUAACGGAGGAGCACGAAGGUCAGCUAAUCCUGGUCGGACAUCAGGAGGUUAGUGCAAUGGCAUAAGCUGGCUUGACUGCGAGAGUGACGGCUCGAGCAGGUGCGAAAGCAGGUCAUAGUGAUCCGGUGGUUCUGUAUGGAAGGGCCAUCGCUCAACGGAUAAAAGGUACUCCGGGGAUAACAGGCUGAUACCGCCCAAGAGUUCAUAUCGACGGCGGUGUUUGGCACCUCGAUGUCGGCUCAUCACAUCCUGGGGCUGAAGUAGGUCCCAAGGGUAUGGCUGUUCGCCAUUUAAAGUGGUACGCGAGCUGGGUUUAGAACGUCGUGAGACAGUUCGGUCCCUAUCUGCCGUGGGCGCUGGAGAAUUGAGGGGGGCUGCUCCCAGUACGAGAGGACCGGAGUGGACGCAUCACUGGUGUUCGGGUUGUCAUGCCAAUGGCACUGCCCGGUAGCUAAAUGCGGAAGAGAUAAGUGCUGAAAGCAUCUAAGCACGAAACUUGCCCCGAGAUGAGUUCUCCCUGAGACUAUAAGUCUCCUGAAGGAACGUUGAAGACGACGACGUUGAUAGGCCGGGUGUGUAAGCGCAGCGAUGCGUUGAGCUAACCGGUACUAAUGAACCGUGAGGCUUAACCUUACAACGCCAAAGAAGU
rnacentral:rRNA from 1 species